CUGACCCGCACUGCUACGGGGCCUCGCCCGCGUGUGUGCAGCACUGAGACAGGUGGGGCCUCUGACCCGCACUGCUACGGGGCCUCGCCCGCGUGUGUGCAGCACCGAGACAGGUGGGGCCUCUGACCCGCACUGAUACGGGGCCUCGCCCGCGUGUGUGCAGCACCGAGACAGGUGGGGCCUCUGAGCCGCACUGUUACGGGGCCUCGCCCGCGUGUGUGCAGCACCGAGACAGGUGGGGCCUCUGACCCGCACUGCUACGGGGCCUCGCCCGCGUGUGUGCAGCACCGAGACAGGUGGGGCCUCUGACCCGCACUGCUACGGGGCCUCGCCCGCGUGUGUGCAGCACCGAGACAGGUGGGGCCUCUGACCCGCACUGCUACGGGGCCUCGCCCGCGUGUGUGCAGCACUGAGACAGGUGGGGCCUCUGACCCGCACUGCUACGGGGCCUCGCCCGCGUGUGUGCAGCACCGAGACAGGUGGGGCCUCUGACCCGCACUGAUACGGGGCCUCGCCCGCGUGUGUGCAGCACCGAGACAGGUGGGGCCUCUGAGCCGCACUGUUACGGGGCCUCGCCCGCGUGUGUGCAGCACCGAGACAGGUGGGGCCUCUGACCCGCA